AGCUCCAAUAGCGUAUAUUAAAGUUGUUGCAGUUAAAACGCUCGUAGUCGGAUUUCGGGGCGGGGCCGCCGGUCUGCCGAUGGGUAUGCACUGGCGGGCGCGUCCUUCCUUCCGGAGACUGGCCCUACUCUUAACUGAGCGGGGUCGGGAGUCGGAUCGUUUACUUUGAAAAAAUCAGAGUGUUUCAAGCAGGCAGCUCGCUCUUGCAUGGAUUAGCAUGGGAUAAUGAAAUAGGACUUUGGUGCUAUUUUGUUGGUUUCGAACACCGAAGUAAUGAUUAACAGGGACAGUCAGGGGCACUCGUAUUCCGCCGAGAGAGGUGAAAUUCUCAGACCAGCGGAAGACGAACCACUGCGAAAGCAUUUGCCAGGGAUGUUUUCACUG
rnacentral:rRNA from 1 species